UUGGCUAAAGUUUUGCUGAAUUGGAACACAGUAAUGCAUCAUCUCCAAUUUUACUUGAAAUGGUCAAUCCCAUCUUGACUCGUAUUCAGACUUUACAAGUACUUGACUGUACUCAAAAACCUUCCAUCAUCGAAUUAAAAAUUCAUAUAGUCCAACAUCAAAGCACACUGAGUUACUUGCAAGUCACCAAGGCAGUCUCAGAUCAGAGGGACACAUAUACCUAUACCCCAUC
rnacentral:lncRNA from 1 species